rnacentral:rRNA from 1 species
UACGUAGGGACCGAGCGUUGUCCGGAUUCAUUGGGCGUAAAGAGCUCGUAGGCGGCCACUCAAGUCGAAUGUGAAACCUCGAGGCUUAACCUCGAGCCUGCAUUUGAUACUGGGCGGCUAGAGUCUGGUAGGGGGAUCUGGAAUUCCUGGUGCAGCGGUGGAAUGCGCAGAUAUCAGGAGGAACACCGGUGGCGAAGGCGGGAUCCUGGGCCAGUACUGACGCUGAGACGCGAAAGCGUGGGGAGCGAACAGG